GACGAACGCUGGCGGCGUGCUUAACACAUGCAAGUCGAACGGAAAGGCCCUGCUUUUGUGGGGUGCUCGAGUGGCGAACGGGUGAGUAACACGUGAGUAACCUGCCCUUGACUUUGGGAUAACUUCAGGAAACUGGGGCUAAUACCGGAUAGGAGCUCCUGCUGCAUGGUGGGGGUUGGAAAGUUUCGGCGGUUGGGGAUGGACUCGCGGCUUAUCAGCUUGUUGGUGGGGUAGUGGCUUACCAAGGCUUUGACGGGUAGCCGGCCUGAGAGGGUGACCGGCCACAGUGGGACUGAGAUACGGCCCAGACUCCUACGGGAGGCAGCAGUGGGGAAUAUUGCACAAUGGGCGGAAGCCUGAUGCAGCAACGCCGCGUGCGGGAUGACGGCCUUCGGGUUGUAAACCGCUUCCGCCUGUGACGAAGCGUGAGUGACGGUAAUGGGUAAAGAAGCACCGGCUAACUACGUG
rnacentral:rRNA from 1 species